rnacentral:rRNA from 1 species
CUCGUAGGCGGCUCAGUAAGUCGAUCGUGAAAGACCGGGGCUCAACCCCGGGGCGUCGGUCGAUACUGCUGUGGCUUGAGUCCGGUAGAGGAAGAUGGAAUUCCCGGUGUAGCGGUGAAAUGCGCAGAUAUCGGGAGGAACACCAGUAGCGAAGGCGGUCUUCUGGGCCGGAACUGACGCUGAGGAGCGAAAGCGUGGGUAGCAAACA